AGGAUUGUCGCAUCGGGCGAUCCUGACGACGCCACGCCGCGUGAGGGAUGAAGGCUUCGGAUUGUAAACCCCUGUCGCCGGGACGAAAGGUCGGGGCAAAAAUCAGGUCCGACAGGUCCCGUGAGGAGACCCCGUAUAUCUCUGCCCCCGCCACCGGAAUAUAA
rnacentral:rRNA from 1 species